CACGUAGGCGGACUAUUAAGUCAGGGGUGAAAUCCCGGGGCUCAACCCCGGAACUGCCUUUGAUACUGGUAGUCUUGAGUUCGAGAGAGGUGAGUGGAAUUCCGAGUGUAGAGGUGAAAUUCGUAGAUAUUCGGAGGAACACCAGUGGCGAAGGCGGCUCACUGGCUCGAUACUGACGCUGAGGUGCGAAAGCGUGGGGAAGCAAACA
rnacentral:rRNA from 1 species